CCUUCAUGUUUAAACAUGUUUUUAAAUUAAACUUUUAAUUUUGGGUAAUUGCAGAUUCACAUACAGUUGUAAGGAAUAAUACAAAGAG